CCUACGGGUGGCAGCAGUAGGGAAUAUUGCUCAAUGGAGGAAACUCUGAAGCAGCAACGCCGCGUGGAGGAUGAAGGUUUUCGGAUUGUAAACUUCUUUUGUUAGAGAAGAUAAUGACGGUAUCUAACGAAUAAUCACCGGCUCAUUCCGUGUCAGCAGCCGCGGUAAUACGGCGGGUGCAAGCGUUACUCGGAAUCACUGGGCGUAAUGAGCGCGUAGGCGGGAUAGCAAGUCAGAUGUGAAAUCCUAUGGCUUAACCAUAGAACUGCAUUUUAAACUGUUAUUCUAGAGUAUAGGAGAGGUAGGUGGAAUUCGUGGUGUAGGGGUAAAAUGCGUAGAGAUCAAGAGGAAUACUCAUUGCGAAGGCGACCUGCUAGAACAUAACUGACGCUGAUGCGCGAAAGCGUGGGGAGCAAACAGGAUUAGAUACCCCUGUAGUC
rnacentral:rRNA from 1 species